rnacentral:lncRNA from 1 species
UUAGAAUAAAAUAAAAAUAUUGAAUAAAAUAUUCAAUUUUCUCAUAAAACAAUAUUUUUAGAACACUGCAUAAAUAAUUUUUACAACGUAAAAGCAAAAUAAAUUCAUAUAUAUCAUAAUACAGUAAGCCGGAGUAUUUAAUUUAAUUUACAGUAACAAGUGGGCCCUCGAAUAACCAAAAGUAAGAAAGAUUAUGAACCUACAGUUUGGAGGAUGCAAAUCCAAUGGUGGUCCU